rnacentral:rRNA from 1 species
GACAUAGGUCACAAACGUUACCCGGAUUUAUUGGGCGUAAAGGGUGCGUAGAUUGUUUGGUAAGUUGUUGGUGGAGAAAGAGCUCAACUUUUUUGAAACUAACAAUACUGCCAGACUAGAGGGAAGGAGAGGUUGAUGGAACUCCAUGUGUAGCGGUAAAAUGCGUAGAUAUAUGGAAGAACACCAAAAAAGGCGAAGGCAGUCAACUAUUCUUAUUCUGACAUUGAGGCACGAAAGCGUGGGGAGCCAAACGG